UACGGAGGGGGCUAGCGUUGUUCGGAAUUACUGGGCGUAAAGCGCGCGUAGGCGGACCUGCAAGUCGGGGGUGAAAUCCCUCGGCUUAACCGGGGAACUGCGUCUGAUACUGGAUGGCUUGAGUUUGGGGAGAGGGAUGCGGAAUUCCAGGUGGUAGCGGUGGAAUGCGUAGAUAUCUGGAGGAACACCGGUGGCGAAGGCGGCAUCCUGGACCAACACUGACGCUGAGUGAGCGAAAGCCAGGGGAGCA
rnacentral:rRNA from 1 species